UGCUUCUCAUGAGUUCCUCUCUGUCAAUCCAGUGGCGGUGUAUGGAUUCCCACGAGAAGUAGAGCGAAAUUCACAGUUAAACAGGUGUUUCCACUAUAUUGGGACACACCCAUGUCUGAUGCUAGACAUUC
rnacentral:snoRNA from 1 species